rnacentral:rRNA from 1 species
CGAAGGGUGCGAGCGUUAAUCGGAAUUACUGGGCGUAAAGAGCACGUAGGCGGUCUGAUAAGCGGAAUGUGAAAUCCCCGGGCUUAACCUGGGAACUGCAUUCCGAACUGUCAGGCUAGAGUGUGGUAGAGGUGAGCGGAAUUUCCUGUGUAGCGGUGAAAUGCGUAGAUAUAGGAAGGAACAUCAGUUGCGAAGGCGGCUCACUGGACCAACACUGACGCUGAGGUGCGAAAGCGUGGGUAGCGAACAGGAUUAGAUACCCUGGUAGUCCACGCCGUAAACGAUGUCUACUAGCCGUUGGAGAACUUGAUUCUUUAGUGGCGUAGCUAACGCGAUAAGUAGACCGCCUGGGGAGUACGGCCGCAAGGUUA